GACGUAGGAGGCGAGCGUUGUCCGGAUUCAUUGGGCGUAAAGAGCGCGCAGGCGGCUUGGUAAGUCGGAUGUGAAAUCCCGAGGCUCAACCUCGGGUCUGCAUCCGAUACUGCCCGGCUAGAGGUAGGUAGGGGAGAUCGGAAUUCCUGGUGUAGCGGUGAAAUGCGCAGAUAUCAGGAGGAACACCGGUGGCGAAAGCGGCUCACUGGCCCGAUAUUGACGCUCAUGUACGAAAGCGUGGGGAGCAAACAGG
rnacentral:rRNA from 1 species